rnacentral:rRNA from 1 species
CGGUAAAAGAUGAGCAUGCGUCCCAUUAGCUAGUUGGUAAGGUAACGGCUUACCAAGGCAACGAUGGGUAGGGGUCCUGAGAGGGAGAUCCCCCACACUGGUACUGAGACACGGACCAGACUCCUACGGGAGGCAGCAGUGAGGAAUAUUGG